rnacentral:rRNA from 1 species
CUACAUGAAGCCGGAAUCGCUAGUAAUCGCGGAUCAGAAUGCCGCGGUGAAUACGUUCCCGGGUCUUGUACACACCGCCCGUCACACCAUGGGAGUCGGAAAUGCCCGAAGUCUGUGACCCAACCUGAGAGGGAGGGAGCAGCCGAAGGCAGGUCUGAUGACUGGGGUGAAGUCGUAACAAGGUAGC